AUGCACUCAGUACGGGGCAAGGCCUGGACACAGUGGCACACACUAGAAUCCCAGCACUUGGACCGUGAGACAGAAUGGUCUCAAAGCCAAGUCUGUGGGGCUGAGGGACUAAGUUCAGCUCCCAGCACCCACGCCAGGCAGUUCACAACCACCUGUAACUCCAGCUCCAGGGGAUCCAAUGCCUCUCACCUCCAUAGGCACCAGAACCACACACACACACACACACACACACACACACACACACACACACACACACAGACACACAGACACACACACACACACACACACACACACACACACACACACACACACACGGCUAGAAGUGAUAUCAAAAGCCUUAAGGCAGGUGGAUCUCUGGAGUUAGAGGCCAAUCUUGUCUACAUAGAGUUCUAGGCCAGUGAGGAUAACAUAUGAGACCCUGUAUCAAAAAGAAAAAAAAUAGAUAAAUUUAAAAGGAAGGAAGGAAAGAAGGAAGGAAGGAAGGAAGGAAGGAAGGAAGGAAGGAAGGGCCCGCACCUUUAACUCCAGCAUUCAGAAGGCAGAGGCAGGUGAAUCUCUGAGUUUGAGGCCAGCCUGUUUCACACAGUGAAUUCUAGGCCAGCCAGGGCUACAGAAAAACUCUGUCUUGAAAAAACAAAAGAAAACAAAAGAAAAGAGAAGAAAAGAAAAGAAAAGAAAAGAAAAGAAAAGAAAAGCCCAAGUGCCCUGAUGCAUUCUUAUAACGCCGGUGCCCAGGAGGUGGAGUGGGAGGGUCACUGUUUGCAGCUUCCCUGGUUUGCAGCAAGUUCCAGGCCAGCCAGGGCUCUGCAGUGAGACCCUGGUUCAAAGAAAGAUGUGCACAGCAUGGUGCUCCCCCCACCUCCUCCAAAAAACAGUGAAUAUAUAAAUCUACUUUAGAAGAAUACAAACAGGACUUCCUUAAGUAAGAGAAACUAUUUGUGUAAAUGACACUAUUAGCUGAGCAGGCCACUGGGAAGGGAAAUAUCUGCAGAGUAUCUGAAAAUGUCACAGUACCCCAAACUCAAGUCAUCAAUAAUAAAAAUCACAUACUCUGGGUGGUGGUGGUGCACACCUUCAAUCCCAGCACUUGGGAGGCAGAGGCAGGUGGAUCUCUCUGAGUUUGAAGCCAGUCUGGUCUACAGAGAGAGCUUCAGGCCAGCAAAGGCUACACAGUGAAACCCUUUCUCUAAAUAAAUAAAUCUUAAAAACAAAACAAACAAAAAAAGGCGCAGAGCAAUAAGGCCAGCACAGCUGUGUCAGGAUCUAAAGGGGAAAACCGCAUGUGAUUUCCAAACAGAAGGAAGCGCUGGGCAGGUGGUUCAGUGGGUAGAGUGCCUACCUAGCAGGCACAAACCCUGGGCUCCACAGCCAGCACCACAGAAACCAAGCUUAGUAACACACACCUGUCAUGCCAGCACUCAGGAGGUGGGAGCAGGUUCAGUGCAGGGUCACACUAAGCUACAGAGAGAAUUCAAGAGCUACAUGAGACCUUGCCUUUAAGUAAAUAAAAUGCAGGACACAUAAAGAUUAAAAGUAAGGAAGUAAAGCUUGUAGGCCUGAGGAACCCCCCAGCUUAGUCUAGGUGCCUAUGGGCAAAUGCUAUGCAGUCAGCAUGGUGCAGGCCUGAGUGGGGCACAGGCUUGGGUGUGUUACAGCUCAGAAAGAGAUGAAACAGAGGAGCUGCCAAGUGGCUCAGCUGGUAAACGCGCUUGCUGAAGAAACCCCGUGAUCUGAGCCCCAUUCCUGGAACCCCCACGAAGAAAGAAGAAGAAAACUGACCUCCCCAUACACAUGCAUACACAAAACAAUUAUUAAAAUAUAGAGCUGGGCCUGGUGUUGGUGGCGAACGCCUUUAAUCCCAGCACUUGGGAGGCAGAGGCAGGCGAUCUCUGAAUCUAAGGUCAGCCUGGUUUACAGAACUAGUUCCAGGACAGCCAGGAAUGUACAGAGGAACCCUGUCUUGGGGAAAAACGGAAGGAAGGAAAGAAGGAAGGAAGGAAGGAAGGAAGGAGACGGUGUACACACCUAUUAUUCCAACACUCCAAUGCCUGAAGCAGGAGGAAAAGAGAAAGGGCAUUCAAAGCUAGUCUGGGCAAGAGUAAGAAUCCUCAGAAAAAAGAGAAGCUGGGCAAAGGAGGCAGCUCAGGGGCUAGGAGCACUGGCUGUUCUUGCAGAGGAACCAAGUUUGGUUCCCAGGACCCAUGAGGUAUCUCACAGUUGUCUGUUACCUCCAGUUCCAGGGUUUCUGGCACCCUCAAUUGGGCUUCAAGGGUAUACACAAACAAGGUGCAAAGACAUACAACAAAACACAUGAAACAAAAGAUUAAUUAAAAAAAAGGGGGGGGGGGCUGGAGAGAUGGCUCAGAGGUUAAGAGCACUGAUUGCUCUUCCAGAGGUCCUGAGUUCAAUUCCCAGCAACCACAUGGUGGCUCACAAACAUCCGUUAUGAGAUCUGGUGCCCUCUUCUGGUGUGCAAAUAUACAUGUAAGCAGAAUGUUGUAUACAUAAUAAAUAAAUAAAAUCUUAAAAAAAAAAAAAAACUUUAAAGAGUACUUGCUGACCAUGUGGUGGUUACACCUUUAAUCCCAGCACUCAGGAGACAGGCAAACCGAUUUCUGGGUCAGCCUAGACUAUAGAGUAAACUCCAGACAGCCGGGCUACACAGAGAAACCCUUUCUGGAAAUAAAUAAAGCACUUGCUGCUCUAGUUCAGUUUGCAGCACUUACAUGGAAGCUCACAGCUGUUUUUAACUUCAGUUCCAAGGGAUCUGACACCCUUUUCUGGCUUGCACAGACACCAGACAUGCAUGUACUUUGUAGCCCAAGCUGGCCUUGAACUCAAGAUACCUGUCUGCCUCUGUCUCCCAAGUGCUAGGAUUCAAGGUGUGCCCCACCACCACCCGGCAAGACU
rnacentral:lncRNA from 1 species